rnacentral:rRNA from 1 species
AACGGCCAUACCAUGCUGAAUAUACCGGUUCUCGUUAGAUCACCGAAGUCAAGCAUCAUUGGGCGCGGUCAUUGGGUGGGUGACCACCUGAGAACACCGCGUGCCGUU